UUGCGCCUGCGCGGCGCGGCGCUGCGGAGACCGUUGGCUCAUUUGCAUGUCCCCGCCUCGCGCGGCGGCGACGGCGGCGGCGAGUGAGGAGCCUGAGGUGGCGGCGGGGGCGGCUCCGCGCGCGGUGGGCUCCGGGUCAAAGAAACAUGGCAGCAAGGCGAAUUGCUCAGGAGACUUUUGAUUCUGUAUUACAAGAAAAAGCUAAACGAUAUCACAUAGACCCCAGUGGUGAGGCUGUAGGUGAAACAACUCUUCAGUUUAAAGCUCAAGAUCUCUUAAGGGUGGUCCCAAGAUCCAGAGCAGACAUGUAUGAUGACGUUCACAGCGACAGCAGAUACUCCCUCAGUGGAUCUGUAGCUCACUCUCGAGACACGGGGAGAGAAACCUUGAGAGGUGAUGUAUUUCCAGGGCCUUCCUUCAGAUCGAGCAACCCUUCCAUCAGUGAUGACAACUACUUUCACAAAGAAUGUGGCCGGGAUCUAGAAUUUUCCCACCCUGACUCCCGGGACCAGGUUAUUGGCCACCGGAAAUUGGGACAUUUCCGUUCUCAGGACUGGAAAUUUGCGCUCCGUGGCUCUUGGGAGCAAGACUUUGGCCAGUCAGUUUCUCAAGAGUCCUCUUGGUCACAGGAAUAUAGCUUUGGUCCUUCUGCAGUAUUGGGGGACUUCGGCUCCUCCAGGCUGAUUGAGAAAGAGUGUUUGGAGAAGGAGAGUCGGGAUUAUGACGUGGACCAUCCAGGGGAGGGUGACUCUGUGCUCAGGGGCAGUGGUCAAGCCCAGGCCAGAGGCCGAGCUCUAAACAUCGUUGAUCAGGAAGGUGCCCUCCUAGGAAAGGGGGAGACUCAGGGCCUGCUCACAGCUAAGGGCAGUGUCGGGAAACUUGUCACACUGAGAAGUGUGAGCACAAAAAAAGUACCUGCUAUAAAUCGUAUUACUCCCAAAACUCAGGGCACUAACCAAAUCCAGAAAACCACCGCCAGUCCCGAUGUGACCCUGGGGACAAAUCCAGGGACAGAAGACAUCCAGUUUCCCAUUCAGAAGAUCCCUUUGGGGCUGGAUCUGAAGAAUCUUCGGCUCCCCAGAAGAAAGAUGAGCUUUGACCUCAUAGAUAAGUCUGAUGUUUUUUCAAGAUUUGGUGUAGAAAUAAUCAAAUGGGCAGGAUUUCACACCAUAAAAGAUGAUGUUAAAUUUUCCCAGCUUUUCCAGACUCUCUUUGAACUCGAAACUGAAACUUGUGCUAAAAUGCUUGCCUCAUUCAAAUGCUCCUUAAAACCAGAACACAGAGAUUUUUGCUUUUUUACUAUCAAAUUUUUAAAGCACUCUGCUUUGAAAACACCCAGAGUUGAUAAUGAAUUUUUAAACAUGCUUCUAGACAAAGGUGCUGUGAAGACCAAAAAUUGCUUUUUUGAAAUCAUAAAGCCCUUUGAUAAGUAUAUAAUGAGACUUCAAGACCGUCUUCUGAAGAGCGUCACUCCUCUGCUCAUGGCCUGCAAUGCCUAUGAGCUGAGUGUCAAGAUGAAGACCCUCAGUAACCCCCUGGACUUGGCUGUUGCCCUAGAGACCACCAAUUCUCUCUGCCGGAAGUCUUUGGCUCUUUUGGGACAGACAUUCUCCUUGGCCUCUUCAUUCAGGCAAGAGAAAAUCUUAGAAGCCGUCGGCCUCCAAGAUAUAGCUCCCUCUCCUGCCGCUUUUCCAAACUUUGAGGACUCAACUUUGUUUGGUAGAGAGUACAUAGAUCACCUGAAGGCCUGGCUGGUUAGCAGCGGGUGUCCCCUCCAGGUCAAGAAAGCUGAACCAGGACCCGCACGAGAGGAAGCGAAAAUGAUUCCUCCUAUGAAACUAGAAAUUCAGGCCAAGGCUCUGAGUGGUCUGAGUGAAGUGGUCCCCCAACGAGCAGAUCACAAGGUGGUUGACACCAUUGACCAGCUUGUUACACGUGUUGUCGAAGGCAGCCUGUCUCCCAAAGAGAGAGCUGUUCUCAAGGAGGACCCUGCUUACUGGUUUUUGUCUGAUGAAAAUAGUCUGGAGUAUAAAUAUUACAAGCUGAAGUUGGCAGAAACGCAGCGGAUAAGCCAGACCUUACCAGGAGCUGAUCGGAAGCCAACCUCAGCAGAAUGUGCCAUGCGGGCCAUGCUGUAUGCCCGGACAGUCCGCAGCCUCAAGAAGAGACUGCUUCCAUGGCAGCGUCGGGGGCUCCUCCGUGCACAAGGUCUCCGGGGGUGGAAGGCAAGGAGAACGAGCACCGGGACCCAGACCCCCUUGUCCUUGGGCACAAGGCUGAAGCACCACAGCCGGCAGGCUCCAGGCCCCUUGCGGGCAAAGCCAUCACUGCCAGACAGAAAUGAAGCUGUGAAGGAUUGCCCACCAGACCCUGCUGGACCCUCUGUUUGUGACCCCACCCCAGAAACCUCAGGCCCAUCCCCCAGGCCAGCAGGAGUGGACAUCUCUGAAGCCCCUCGGACCUCCUCUCCCUGCCCAUCUGCUGAUGUUGACGUGAAAACAAUGGAGACUGCAGAGAAACUGGCCAGAUUUGUUGCUCAGGUGGGACCAGAGAUAGAACAAUUCAGCAUAGAAAACAGCAUCGAUAACCCCGAACUGUGGUUUCUCCAUGACCAAAACAGUGCUGCUUUCAGAUUCUACCGGAAGAAAGUGUUUGAACUGUGCCCGUCAAUUUGUUUCACGUCAUCGCCACUCAACCUCCACACUGGCGGUGAGAGUGCAGAUUCUCAGGAGAGCCCCUUAGACCACAUGGAAGGGGAAGCAGAAUUUGAGGAUGAGGCCCCUCAGCAGCAGGCUGAGCUGGAGAGCCCAGAGGCGAUGCCUGAGGAGGAGGACGAUGAUGACGACGAUGACGACGACGAUGACAGGGAUGGGGCAGAGGAGGCCCCUGCAGGGGCCGGCAAGUCCAAGGGCAGCCUCCUUGCCGAUGGCCUCCCCGGCGAGACUGCCGAAGAUGACCCAGCCGGAGUGCCUGCCUUGUCACAGGCCUCCUCGGGCACCUGCUUCCCCCGGAAGAGGAUCAGCAGCAAGUCAUUGAAGGUUGGCAUGAUUCCAGCUCCCAAGAGAGUGUGUCUCAUCCAGGAGCCAAAAGUCCAUGAACCAGUUCGAAUCGCUUAUGACAGGCCUCGGGGUCGUCCCAUGUCCAAAAAGAAGAAACCCAAGGACUUUGACUUUGCCCAGCAGAAGCUGACCGACAAGAACCUGGGCUUCCAGAUGCUGCAGAAGAUGGGCUGGAAGGAGGGCCACGGCCUGGGCUCCCUCGGGAAAGGCAUCCGGGAGCCCGUCAGCGUGGGAACCGCCUCGGAAGGGGAGGGGUUGGGUGCCGACGGGCAGGAGCACAAAGAAGACACAUUCGACGUGUUCCGACAGAGGAUGAUGCAGAUGUACAGGCACAAACGGGCCAACAAAUAGAUCAAAACCACUGGUGAGAAAGAUAAGCCUUGAAGCAGCAAUUACCCUUAAAACAUCAGCCCCGCCCCGGACCUGCCUGGAGCCAGUGCCCAAGUACGGUUUGUUCCAGGGUCUCUCCCGUGAGGACAACAGGCAUCCGGAAAGUGCUAACUCGCCACUUCGGGUGCUUACUGUCUGUGGCUUGUUUCCAUCACUGGAAAUCACUUAGAGAAUCUUAGUGUGUUUGGUCCCUGGUAAAACCUAGAAGACAUUUGUGAUGUUAUAAAAUGGAAGUUUUGUUUUAUAAAUCUAAGAAGUUGUGAAUGUUGUUAGUCAUUUAGCAGUUGCAAUAAAUGUAGAGGAAA